UACGGAGGGUGCAAGCGUUGUCCGGAUUUAUUGGGUUUAAAGGGUGCGCAGGCGGAUUUGUAAGUCAGUGGUGAAAUCCCAUAGCUCAACUAUGGAACUGCCAUUGAUACUGCAGAUCUUGAGUACGUCUGAGGUGGUUGGAAUGAGUGGUGUAGCGGUGAAAUGCAUAGAGAUCACUCAGAACACCGAUUGCGAAGGCAGAUCACUAAGACGUAACUGACGCUGAGGCACGAAAGCGUGGGGAGCGAACAGG
rnacentral:rRNA from 1 species